UCCUGUAGUUCAGGAAAUAUAUUUCAAAUUUUUGAAAUAUUUCCAUUUUACCAAACACAAAAAUAUAUUUUUGACCGUUGAAAGCAUUUCCGAAAAAAAAUUUUCGGAAACAUCUUUCCACCGUGAGGGGUGGAGAAAUGUUUCCGGAAAAAAUUUUUUGCCCGUUAGGACAGAAACUCAUCGCGCGUAGGGCUCCGCUUGUCUUCCUCUCCGACGCUUCAUCCUCCGCUGCUGCCUCACAGGAGGAAGAAAUUGAAGCGGCGUUCUCUUCCGUCUGACGAAGGUCUUCGUUCCUCUCUGAAAAUCCUCCAUCUCUUAUUUUCUAGUUCUCUUAUGCAGUCUGACCAAGCGGAACGAGAAGGACAGCAAGAAGAGGAGGCACAAAUCAGCCCGUCGAUCUUCCAGAGACGACGAUAAGUUUAUUUCGUAUUUUUAUUAAAUUCCCAACUUCUCUCGCUCCGUCUCUCUCUGAGUCCUCAUCAUUGAUUCCCCAGAGAAACUUCUUUGCCGACUUCUUUCAUUUUCCACUAUGUCAUCUUUGUGAGAAGAUUUCAUCCCCUCUACACGCGGUAAUCCUAUCCUUUGUUCCUUCUGUCCAGUAAGGUAACAGCUGAUUGGUCUCCUUAAAAAUCUGAACCCACACGUUUCUUGGCAUAAAACCCAAUUUUUCUGUUCAAGGGACAGAAAUCCUCUACAGAGUUGUAUAUUCUCUUGGAGUCUGUUGUUCCCAUUGUCUUUGGUGAAUCUGCCUCCAGACUGUUUGACGAUUCGGAAUUCCUGCUUCGCUGAUUUGGUGGGUCUUUUUUUAUGGCUUUGAAUCGUGGUGUUAAAUGUGGAAAUUUGAUGGAAUUCACUGGUUUUCUUGGAGUGGGUUUAGGGUUUGUGGUGACACUAUUUGCUUUUGAAUGUGUUAAUGAGAUUUUGGGAAUUUUUAGUUGACUUCUUUCAUUUGUGUUAGAUGUUCUUUUUGACAUAUUCUCUUGUUCAAUGGCAGUUGAAUUAGCUGGUGUUUGUUUGUUUUGUGUUUCUUGAGUUACAAUUACGAUCUUGGUUGAUUCUCUUUGUUGUUCGUGGACUGAACUGUUAUUCUGUUUUUUGUUGGAAUCAAGGGUUAAAACUUACCCUUGCCAUCGUUGAUCACAAGGUUUUGUGAAGUCAGUCUCUCGUUUGGCUUACCAAAACAAGUGGGGCUUUUCCUUUUCCUUUUUGGUGCUGCUUGUUUUAUUGGGUGGUGGUGGAUAACAUCUUUAUAUGUUCAUUUACUUAUAAGCACAACCUUAACCUUUGUAUUAUUUUGUAUUCAUCUGCAUAUCCUCCCAGCUUGCCCACCAUUUCAAACGUUUCUACGAUCACUGCAAAAUAACAGCAGCUGCAGACAGCAUGUUGAAGAUGAAAAGAGAUGGGAGUCGGUGAAUUGCACUGCUGCUGCUGAUGCUGCUAGCACGAGCUAUUUGGCGUGGAAUGGAAUCUUGUACCUUGGGCCUUUAUACAUUAUCAGUGUGGUAUCUAUGUUCGUAGUUAGCUUCCUGUAGAUAUAUAUGUAUUCUCUGUUUCUGC